rnacentral:rRNA from 1 species
CAAGUCUUGACAUCCUCCUGGAUACAGGGUAAUGCCUGUAGGCCUUCGGGACAGGAGAGACAGGUGGUGCUUGGUUGUCGUCAGCUCGUGUCGUGAGAUGUUGGGUUAAGUCCCGCAACGAGCGCAACCCCUAUCUUUAGUAGCCAGCGAGUGAAGUCGGGCACUCUAGAGAGACUGCCGGGGAUAACCCGGAGGAAGGUGGGGAUGACGUCAAAUCAUCAUGCCCCUUAUGAUUUGGGCUACACACGUGCUACAAUGGCGUAAACAGAGGGAAGCGAGCCUGCGAGGGGGAGCAAAUCCCAAAAAUAACGUCCCAGUUCGGAUUGUAGUCUGCAACCCGACUACAUGAAGCUGGAAUCGCUAGUAAUCGCGGAUCAGAAUGCCGCGGUGAAUACGUUCCC